GGUCGCGUAGCCAAGGAGUAAGGCAAGGGACUGCAAAUCCCUUAGACGUGGGUGCAAAUCCCACCGCGACCU
rnacentral:tRNA from 1 species